CAGAAAAUAACCACAGGCCAACAAUACCCCGACAAAUCGAAAGUUGAAAUUCUGCGAAAAAGUAAAUCCCCCAGAAACAUUGUAAAAACGGGUAUGGUGGAAGAUUUUAGUGGCAUAUUUUAGUUACCAAAACGAGUGAUCAUUAGAAUCAUAAAGGUUGGUCCAAACUCACCACUACCGAUUGUCUCUUGCAUCAAUCGAACGAAACAUUCCAUUUUGACAAGAAUACCUACGAAAGAUUUUUUAAGGAUGUUGAUGUAUUGUAUGCGAUGUAAACGGAAAACGGAAUGCAUAGUUAAUCCAACCAUUCCUAAAAGUCAUAACCCGAAAAGAAAGGAAACCAGAAUAUCGGGGAGAUGUACAGUGUGUGGGACAAAUACGUCCAUAAUAGUGGUUUGAUAUUACAUGUAAUACACCUCUUAAACAUAAGAUGAUAUAAAGCAUGGUGUGAAUGUGAUGUAUACCAAAAGUUUAUAUCUUUGUUCCUUUCGCAAAUAAUUGUUCACAAAGUAAUGAUAUUAGAUAUUUGUAGAAUAUGC